rnacentral:tRNA from 1 species
GAGACCUUAGUUAAAUUAAUAACCCUACCAUGUCGAGGUGAAAUUGGGGGUGAAAGCCCCCCGGGUCUCC